GGGUUGUGAGGUUAAGCGACUAAGCGUACACGGUGGAUGCCCUGGCAGUCAGAGGCGAUGAAGGACGUGCUAAUCUGCGAUAAGCGCCGGUAAGGUGAUAUGAACCGUUAUAACCGGCGAUUUCCGAAUGGGGAAACCCAGUGUGACUCGUCACACUAUCAUUAACUGAAU
rnacentral:rRNA from 2 species